ensembl:miRNA
ACCCCACCACAGCCCAUCCCAGCCCUGCUCAGCACCCCCUGAGCCGAGGGCCCAGGAAGGAGGUGUGGGGAGCCACCUGCUCACACAUCAGCCUGGUGCCUCAGUCCUGCAAGGCCAGCUGCAUGUGGGGCUGGGCCGGCUGUGU